rnacentral:rRNA from 1 species
AGUGAACGCUGGCGGUAGGCCUAACACAUGCAAGUCGAACGGCAGCACAGGAGAGCUUGCUCUCUGGGUGGCGAGUGGCGGACGGGUGAGGAAUACAUCGGAAUCUACUUUUUCGUGGGGGAUAACGUAGGGAAACUUACGCUAAUACCGCAUACGACCUACGGGUGAAAGCAGGGGACCUUCGGGCCUUGCGUGAUUGAAUGAGCCGAUGUCGCAUUAGCUAGUUGGCGGGGUAAAGGCCAACCAAGGCGACGAUCCGUAGCUGGUCUGAGAGGAUGAUCAGCCACACUGGAACUGAGACACGGUCCAGACUCCUAAGGGAGGCAGCAGUGGGGAAUAUUGGACAAUGGGCGCAAGCCUGAUCCAGCCAUACCGCGUGGGUGAAGAAGGCCUUCGGGUUGUAAAGCCCUUUUGUUGGGAAAGAAAUCCAGCUGGCUAAUACCCGGUUGGGAUGACGGUACGCAAAGAAUAAGCACCGGCUAACUUCGUGCCAGCAGCCGCGGUAA